GAGAAAAUACAUAUAGAUAUACAUGUGUGUACUUUCCUAUGUCUACAGAUUUUGAAAAAGAUUGUCACACCUUUGUCUCUAGUGUGGUCCUUCUCAAAAAUCUGGAAAGGGAUGACUUCAGUUCUCAAAGACAAACAAAGUUCAUUACAACUACUGAAUCAUUACUGGCACAACGAAGAAGAUACAAACCACCUAAGAGGUAAUUAUAGCUGUAGGUAGGCACCAAGCAAACAAUAAUAAGCAUGUCUACCAAAACUCCAGAAUUCAGAAAGGUAACUUGAGAAUUGGUACUUGUAGAACAGCGCCAUCACUGUUUUGUACAGCUUGAAAAGCAAAAAGCACACUGAUUAACUUUCUCCCUGUCACUUUUACCCCAUAUUACUUGGUAAUCUCAGUUUUUUCCCCAUUUUCAGUUUGGCAUAAAUCUAUACAAUCUGCUCCUUAAAAGAUGCCACCUAGUGCUUUUGAGAGAGAAUAAUCCACAGCCACUUCCCUUUAAAUACAUGGUAGUUGCUGUGUAAUGGUUUUCAGGCUCUAACUUCUAUGAAGGAAGGUAGGAAAAGGGUGUUCGAAGUGAUAAAUACAUUAGACUUGAUCACUUGUUCAUCCUUUCUAUUUAGUCAACGUGAAUAUUUUCUAAUGAUCUGAAUGGGAGCAGGAUUCAUCCUUCAAUUGCUUCCAUUUUCCCUGGCCUUUCCUCAUUCCUGCAUGAAACAUGAAUAUCCAAAAUAAAUGACUACACACUUGCUCAGUUAUGAAUAAAACCUCAGCAGCUGCUCUGUGCUCACCCAGAUCCCGUACAUCACCUGUUUCAUUCAACAGUGAUAAUUACACUUUUUUCACUAGUAAUUUGACUGAACUUAUUUCCUUUUUUUUUUCU
rnacentral:lncRNA from 1 species